rnacentral:rRNA from 2 species
UCAGGACGAACGCUGGCGGCGUGCCUAAUACAUGCAAGUCGAACGAACUCUGGUAUUGAUUGGUGCUUGCAUCAUGAUUUACAUUUGAGUGAGUGGCGAACUGGUGAGUAACACGUGGGAAACCUGCCCAGAAGCGGGGGAUAACACCUGGAAACAGAUGCUAAUACCGCAUAACAACUUGGACCGCAUGGUCCGAGUUUGAAAGAUGGCUUCGGCUAUCACUUUUGGAUGGUCCCGCGGCGUAUUAGCUAGAUGGUGGGGUAACGGCUCACCAUGGCAAUGAUACGUAGCCGACCUGAGAGGGUAAUCGGCCACAUUGGGACUGAGACACGGCCCAAACUCCUCCGGGAGGCAGCAGUAGGGAAUCUUCCACAAUGGACGAAAGUCUGAUGGAGCAACGCCGCGUGAGUGAAGAAGGGUUUCGGCUCGUAAUACUCUGUUGUUAAAGAAGAACAUUUCUGAGAGUAACUGUUCAGGUAUUGACGGUAUUUAACCAGAAAGCCACGGCUAACUACGUGCCAGCAGCCGCGGUAAUACGUAGGUGGCAAGCGUUGUCCGGAUUUAUUGGGCGUAAAGCGAGCGCAGGCGGUUUUUUAAGUCUGAUGUGAAAGCCUUCGGCUCAACCGAUAGAAGUGCAUCGGAAACUGGGAAACUUGAGUGCAGAAGAGGACAGUGCAACUCCAUGUGUAGCGGUGAUAUGCGUAGAUAUAUGGAAGAACACCAGUGGCGAAGGCGGCUGUCUGGUCUGUAACUGACGCUGAGGCUCGAAAGUAUGGGUAGCAAACAGGAUUAGAUACCCUGGUAGUCCAUACCGUAAACGAUGAAUGCUAAGUGUUGGAGGGUUUCCGCCCUUCAGAGCUGCAGCUAUCGCAUUAAGCAUUCCGCCUGGGGAGUACGGCCGCAAGGCUGAAACUCAAAGGAAUUGACGGGGGCGCGCACAAGCGGUGGAGCAUGUGGUUUAAUUCGAAGCUACGCGAAGAACCUUACCAGGUCUUGACAUACUAUGCAAAUCUAAGAGAUUAGACGUUCCCUUCGGGGACAUGGAUACAGGUGGUGCAUGGUUGUCGUCAGCUCGUGUCGUGAGAUGUUGGGUUAAGUCCCGCAACGCGCGCAACCCUUAUUAUCAGUUGCCAGCAUUAAGUUGGGCACUCUGGUCAGACUGCCGGUGACAAACCGGAGGAAGGUGGGGAUGACGUCAAAUCAUCAUGCCCCUUAUGACCUGGGCUACACACGUGCUACAAUGGAUGGUACAACGAGUUGCGAACUCGCGAGAGUAAGCUAAUCUCUAAAAGCCAUUCUCAGUUCGGAUUGUAGGCUGCAACUCGCCUACAUGAUGUCGGAAUCGCUAGUAAUCGCGGAUCAGCAUGCCGCGGUGAAUACGUUCCCGGGCCUUGUACACACCGCCCGUCACACCAUGAGAGUUUGUAACACCCAAAGUCGGUGGGGUAACCUUUUAGCAACCAGCCGCCUAAGGUGGGACAGAUGAUUA